GGGGGCCCGCAAGCGGUGGAGCAUGUGGUUUAAUUCGAAGCAACGCGAAGAACCUUACCAGGUCUUGACAUCCCGCUGACCGCCUAGGAGACUAGGCUUUCCCUUCGGGGACAGCGGUGACAGGUGGUGCAUGGUUGUCGUCAGCUCGUGUCGUGAGAUGUUGGGUUAAGUCCCGCAACGAGCGCAACCCUUGAUCUUAGUUGCCAGCAUUCAGUUGGGCACUCUAAGGUGACUGCCGGUGACAAACCGGAGGAAGGUGGGGAUGACGUCAAAUCAUCAUGCCCCUUAUGACCUGGGCUACACACGUGCUACAAUGGACGGUACAAAGGGCUGCCAACCCGCGAGGGGGAGCCAAUCCCAGAAAACCGUUCUCAGUUCGGAUUGCAGGCUGCAACUCGCCUGCAUGAAGCCGGAAUCGCUAGUAAUCGUGGAUCAGCAUGCCACGGUGAAUACGUUCCCGGGCCUUGUACACACC
rnacentral:rRNA from 1 species